CACGGUGUGCCCCUUUCCCCCCACUUUCGACUUUGGAGCUUUCGCGCUUCGCCUCCCUUCCCGUUCCCCGUUCCCCCGCGCGCUCCUCUCUCGGCUGCGGCCGCGGCCGCCAGGCGAUGCAGCUGGACGACUCCGACGGCGCCCUCGGCUCGUGGGCCCGCUUCUGCGCUCUCUCCGGCGAGCUCGUCGGCGGCGCCGGCGACCUCUCCGUCGGCCCGCGCCUCGCGCCCGUCGUGGCGGACCUCUGCGCCCGCGGCCUCGCCACGCUCGUCCGCGACUACUUCCUCCACAACCUCGAGGAAACAUUUAGAAACAAUGCAGUCAAGAUGUUCUGGCAGAAAUUUCAUCCUUAUAGCAGUUCUUCUGCAGUAGAAAGAAUUAAAUUCUGUGUUCAGGAAAGCUGGCCUGAGGAUGUCUUGAGUGCAGCACUAGAGGACAUAUGCUUGGAAAAGAGUUACCAGGAAAAAUGUGUCCUAGUUCUAGCUCAUGCUUUACAAUCAUACGAGGAGAAGGCACAAAACAGAAAGCUCAAAGCAGUUCAGUGUAGUUCCAGCUUAAUGCCUAGGUACCAAUUAAUGGUAUCUUCUGUACUUCUGACAACACUGCCCUUGAGCUUUCCUGAGAUUCUAAAUGUCUAUUUCAAGAAGAAACUGGAAGAACUAAAUACCAUGGUGGAUGCAUCUGAUGAGAACGACCAACUUGCUAGUCAUGAACUUUUUGGACGGAGCAAUGUUUCUGCUUGGGAUUCUAAAAUGGACAUUGAUAGUCAAGAAACAGUUAUUUCAGAAAGUUGCACUCUGGUUAAGAACAUUGGAAAAGUUGUUCGUGAUUUUAGAUGUCUUGGUUUUACAUCUAUGACCGAAGAUUCUUAUUCCUCUGCAAUAAUCUGGCUUUUAAAGUCUAAAGUUUAUGAACUAGCUGGUGAUGAUUACAGAAUCCCUGUCCUUGGGAGUGUCAAUAAGUGGAUUCAAGUUGUUCCUCUUCAGUUUUUGCAUGCUCUUUUGACAUAUCUGGGGGACUCUGUUGACUAUGACAGUGGAUUAUCUGGUCUGAAAUCGCCCUUAGCCUCACGCCCUUCUUCCUUCCCAGGGAUCGGUGUUCCUUCUGAAGCACUUCUGAGGUGGCACAUGCGCCUUGAAUAUUUUGCUUAUGAAACCUUGCAGGACCUAAGAAUUGGCAAACUUUUUGAAAUUAUAGUAGAUUACCCUGAGAGUUCUCCCGCUAUUGAAGACCUAAAGCAGUGUUUAGAGUACACGGGUCAACACUCUAAGCUUGUUGAUUCAUUUAUCUCAUCACUGAGAUAUCGCUUGCUUACUGCUGGUGCCUCAACUAAUGACAUAUUGCACCAGUAUGUUUCCACAAUCAAGGCACUGCGGUCGAUUGACCCCACUGGUGUAUUCUUGGAAGCAGUUGGUGAACCAAUUAGGGAUUAUCUGAGAGGUAGAAAAGACACUAUUAAAUGCAUAGUGACAAUGCUAACUGAUGGAUCUGGAGGAAACACAAGCGGGGGAAAUGCUGGUGAUAAUCUUCUUGAAGAAUUGAACAGGGAUGCUGAAAACCAGGAAAAUGCUGACUAUGAUGAUCAUACAAACAUUGAUGAGAAGCAAGCUUGGUUGAAUUCUGAAAGCUGGGAGCCUGAUCCUGUUGAAGCAGAUCCAUUGAAAGGCAGCAGGAGUAGGAGGAAAAUUGAUAUACUUGGACUGAUGGUCAGUAUAAUUGGCUCAAAGGACCAAUUGGUCAACGAAUAUCGUGUAAUGCUGGCUGAGAAGCUGCUAAGCAAAUCUGAUUUUGAUAUAGAUUCUGAUAUCCGCACGCUGGAGCUCCUUAAGAUUCAUUUCGGUGAGAGCAGCAUGCAGAAGUGUGAGAUUAUGCUCAAUGACUUGAUUGACUCGAAGAGAACCAACUCAAAUAUUAAAACAUCAUUAUUAAAUGCACCUGGAACUGUUGCUGGGCAAGAGGAGGCAGAAAUUUCUCAUGAUGUUCUUGAUGCUACAAUAAUUUCUUCCAAUUUUUGGCCACCGAUUCAGACAGAAGAUCUCGCAGUUCCUGCUUCAGUUGAUAAACUGCUGUCUGAUUUUGCACAAAGAUUCCAUCAGAUAAAAACUCCACGGAAGCUAUUGUGGAAGAAAAAUCUUGGAACGGUCAAGUUGGAACUGCAAUUUGAGGACAGAAGUAUGCAGUUUACUGUAGUACCUGUGCAGGCUGCAAUCAUAAUGCGGUUUCAAGAGAAACCAAGCUGGACUUCAAAGGCACUUGCUACCGAAAUCGGCAUACCUGUAGAUUCUCUCAACAGAAGAAUAGGUUUCUGGACAAGCAAGGGGGUCCUGACUGAAUCGGUGGGACCAGAUGCCGAUGAUCACAUCUUCACAAUUGUUGAUAGCAUGUCUGAUGUCAACAAAAACAGCAUCGUGAACGAAAGCUGCGAAGCGUUUCAAAUGAAUGAGGACGAAGGUGAAAGUUCCGUUGCAUCCGUUGAGGAACAGCUUAAGAAAGAAAUGACAGUCUAUGAGAAAUUCAUCAUAGGAAUGUUAACCAAUUUCGGCAAUAUGACACUGGACAAAAUACAUAACACUUUGAAGAUGUUCUGUGCCGAGCCAUCGUAUGAUAAAUCACUGCAGCAAUUGCAGAGUUUUCUUUCGGGUCUAGUAUCAGAUGAGAAGCUUGAAAUGAGAGAUGGAUUGUACUUGCUAAAAAAGUAACUGCUACUUAGGGUGACACAUUAUGCUGUUAGAUUAAGGAUGACAGGCAGUCAAACCAGCGCAGAUGGUGGGCUUCCUGAUGUUGCUCUGAACUCGCUUUUCUUCUUUCCCUAGCCUUGAUAGUUUCAA